rnacentral:lncRNA from 1 species
AUGGAUUCUUUAACUCUAAAAACAGUAUCACAAUAUUACUCUAACCUUAUCAUAACUCCUCUGAUUUGGUAUAAGCCCUGUGGACAGCAUGGAUGUGUGACUGCUAAUAUCACUGAACUGCAUCACCUUCUGAAAACUGGUUUUCCUGGGGUUUUUCCUAGGUUCUGCUGACUAGAGUGGAAUUCGAAGAAGUAGAUGAGAAAUCUCCUGAACUGUUCAGUAUUUUUGCUGAUUUUUUUUUUCAAUGAAAUAACCUAACUUCAGCUCUUUAUAAAAAAGUAAGUAAAAAAUCUCUGAGGAAUGAAAAUGAUGCAACACUCCCAUGGUUGUUGUUUCUAAUGGCUGGAAAAAUGUAUUACUGGACUUUGUGAAUUGCUAUACUCAGUAAGCAGCAAACACAAUUAAAGCCAGAAUAUACUGUAUCACAACAUGUACUAAAUUAAUUUAUCUUGACAAGUUUCAUUUAGUUUAAAUAAUUCAUAGUGUACUUUUAUUAAAAUGUGAAAGGAAAAGUAAUGAAUUCUUGGUUGUAUGGUAUCUUACUGUAAGGCUCUUACAUUAUUAAAAUUAUAAAUGUAAUCACUGGAAACUUUGCUUUUUUCAAUAAAAAAAAACAACUGUUAGAAGUG